UAGCUCGGAGUGAGGAGGCAAGCUAAGAAGAGUUAAUGGGUGAAGAAGUAGAAAGCUAAACUUCGAGAGUGGAGAGACAGCCUGAACAAUCUUCAGCUCAAACCCAAACUGGCAAUAAGGAAGGAAGAAGAAUUGAGUGACAUGAUGAAUCAAGCUACCUAACCACAGGAAUGAAGCCAGGAGGAAUUUGAAAACAUUCCUGUUUACCCAGGCAUUUGAUGGCUGAAGGGGUGUUCCUGGCUACCUGAAGAUCACUGAUGAAACAAGAGCACUGAUUUUUUAACUGUAAUUGUGUUUCAGAAUGAUUUUAACUCUAAUUGUGUUUUAGAAUGUUUUCACUGUUUUUAGAAUGCUUUUCUUUCUUUUUUGUUAAAUUGUUUUGCUGAUAUGUCUGCCACCCUAGGCUCCAUUGGGAAGAAGGGUGGGAUAUAGAUUUAAUAAAUAAUAAUAAAAUAAUAAAUACUUAGAAUCACUUAAUACAUUAUAUUUUUCUGAAUCUUAAUAUAGGAACAGUAAAACAGAUGCAGCCUCAAAAGAAACCAAAUGUACUAAAGCAAUAGUCUUCAACAUUUCCAGACCCUGAAUCCAUGU